rnacentral:rRNA from 1 species
GUUGACCUCGGAUCAGGUAGGAAUACCCGCUGAACUUAAGCAUAUCAAUAAGCGGAGGAAAAGAAACCAACAGGGAUUGCCUCAGUAACGGCGAGUGAAGCGGCAACAGCUCAAAUUUGAAAUCUGGCCUCACGGUCCGAGUUGUAAUUUGUAGAGGAUGUUUUGGGCACCGCCUCGGGUUAAAUUUCUUGGAACAGAAUGUCAAAGAGGGUGAGAGUCCCGUCUUGGCCCGCGGUAGGACCUAUGUAAAACUCCUUCGACGAGUCGACUUGUUUGGGAAUGCAGGUCAAAAUGGGUGGUAAAUUUCAUCUAAAGCUAAAUAUUGGCCAGAGACCGAUAGCGCACAAGUAGAGUGAUCGAAAGAUGAAAAGCACUUUGAAAAGAGAGUUAAACAGUAUGUGAAAUUGUUGAAAGGGAAGCGCUGGCAACCAGACUCGAGCGCGGUGUUCCCCCUGGCUUCUGCCUGGGUUACUUCACCGUGACCGGGCCAUCAUCAGUUUUGGGGGCCGGUCAAAGGUCCGGGGAAUGUAUCCUCUCCUUCGGGGGAGGACUUAUAGCCCCGGGCGUCAUGCGGCCUCCCGGGACUGAGGAACGCGCUUCGGCGAGGAUGAUGGCGUAAUGGUUGUCAGCGACCCGUCUUGAAACACGGACCAAGGAGUCUAACAUCUAUGCAAGUGUUCGGGUGUCAAACCCUUGCGCGGAAUGAAAGUGAACGGAGGUAGGAAGGCCUGAGCCUGCACUAUCGACCGAUCCUGAUGUCUUCGGAUGGAUUUGAGUAAGAGCAUAGCUGUUGGGACCCGAAAGAUGGUGAACUAUGCGUGAAUAGGGUGAAGCCAGAGGAAACUCUGGUGGAGGCUCGCAGCGGUUCUGACGUGCAAAUCGAUCGUCAAAUUUGCGUAUAGGGGCGAAAGACUAAUCGAACCAUUUGGUAGCUGGUUUCUGCCGAAGUUUCCCUCAGGAUAGCAGUAACGUUUUCAGUUUUAUGAGGUAAAGCGAAUGAUUAGAGGCCUUGGGGUUGAAACAACCUUAACCUAUUCUCAAACUUUAAAUAUGUAAGAAGUCCUUGUUACUUAGUUGAACGUGGACAUUUGAAUGUACCGUUACUAGUGGGCCAUUUUUGGUAAGCAGAACUGGCGAUGCGGGAUGAACCGAACGCGAGGUUAAGGUGCCGGAAUGCACGCUCAUCAGACACCACAAAAGGUGUCAAUGCAUCUAGACAGCCGGACGGUGGCCAUGGAAGUCGGAAUCCGCUUAGGAGUGUGUAACAACUCACCGGCCGAAUGCAUUGGCCCUGAAAAUGGAUGGCGCUUAAGCGUGCUACCCAUACCUCGCCGUCAGGGUUGACAUGAUGCCCUGACGAGUAGGCAGACGUGGAGGUCCGUGACGAAGCCUUGGGGGUGACCCCGGGUCGAACGGCCUCUAGUGCAGAUCUUGGUGGUAGU